rnacentral:rRNA from 1 species
GAGUGGGGGGGUGCUAUACAUGCAGUCGAGCGGACUUGAUGGAGUGCUUGCACUCCUGAUGGUUAGCGGCGGACGGGUGAGUAACACGUAGGCAACCUGCCCUCAAGACUGGGAUAACUACCGGAAACGGUAGCUAAUACCGGAUAAUUUAUUUUGCAGCAUUGUGAAAUAAUGAAAGGCGGAGCAAUCUGUCACUUGAGGAUGGGCCUGCGGCGCAUUAGCUAGUUGGUGGGGUAACGGCCCACCAAGGCGACGAUGCGUAGCCGACCUGAGAGGGUGAACGGCCACACUGGGACUGAGACACGGCCCAGACUCCUACGGGAGGCAGCAGUAGGGAAUCUUCCGCAAUGGGCGAAAGCCUGACGGAGCAACGCCGCGUGAGUGAUGAAGGUUUUCGGAUCGUAAAGCUCUGUUGCCAAGGAAGAACGUCUUCUAGAGUAACUGCUAGGAGAGUGACGGUACUUGAGAAGAAAGCCCCGGCUAACUACGUGCCAGCAGCCGCGGUAAUACGUAGGGGGCAAGCGUUGUCCGGAAUUAUUGGGCGUAAAGCGCGCGCAGGCGGUUCUUUAAGUCUGGUGUUUAAACCCGAGGCUCAACUUCGGGUCGCACUGGAAACUGGGGAACUUGAGUGCAGAAGAGGAGAGUGGAAUUCCACGUGUAGCGGUGAAAUGCGUAGAUAUGUGGAGGAACACCAGUGGCGAAGGCGACUCUCUGGGCUGUAACUGACGCUGAGGCGCGAAAGCGUGGGGAGCAAACAGGAUUAGAUACCGUGGUAGUCCACGCCGUAAACGAUGAAUGCU